GGCGGAGGCGAGGGAGUUCAGAGAGCUUAUGGAGGAGAUUUCUCGCCAUGGAGGAGCUUCUCAAUGGAUCGAUUUCAUGCCGAUUUUGAAAUGGAUUGGAUUUGACGGAUAUGAGAAGAGUUUGGCCAAAUUGACGAAAAGGGCCGAUCGAUUUAUGCAGGAAUUGGUUGAAGAGCGGCGGAAUAAGAAAGUGUUGGCAAAAGAAGAACAGAGUUCUCUGCUUCAUCGGCUUCUUGAAUUGCAGCUCUCUGAACCCGAAUACUACACCGAUCAGAUCAUCAAAGGGAUCGUUCUGGUUCUAUUGCGUGCAGG
rnacentral:misc_RNA from 1 species